rnacentral:rRNA from 1 species
UACGAAGGGGGCUAGCGUUGUUCGGAUUUACUGGGCGUAAAGCGCGCGUAGGCGGGUCACUAAGUCAGGGGUGAAAUCCCGAGGCUUAACCUCGGAACUGCCUUUGAUACUGGGGAGCUCGAGUCCGGAAGAGGUGAGUGGAACUCCGAGUGUAGAGGUGAAAUUCGUAGAUAUUCGGAAGAACACCAGUGGCGAAGGCGGCUCACUGGUCCGGUACUGACGCUGAGGUGCGAAAGCGUGGGGAGCAAACAGG